AUUGAACGCUGGCGGCAGGCCUAACACAUGCCAGUCGAACGGUAACAGGAAACAGCUUGCUGUUUCGCUGACGAGUGGCGGACGGGUGAGUAAUGUCUGGGAAACUGCCUGAUGGAGGGGGAUAACUACUGGAAACGGUAGCUAAUACCGCAUAACGUCGCAAGACCAAAGAGGGGGACCUUCGGGCCUCUUGCCAUCGGAUGUGCCCAGAUGGGAUUAGCUAGUAGGUGGGGUAACGGCUCACCUAGGCGACGAUCCCUAGCUGGUCUGAGAGGAUGACCAGCCACACUGGAACUGAGACACGGUCCAGACUCCUACGGGAGGCAGCAGUGGGGAAUAUUGCACAAUGGGCGCAAGCCUGAUGCAGCCAUGCCGCGUGUAUGAAGAAGGCCUUCGGGUUGUAAAGUACUUUCAGCGGGGAGGAAGGGAGUAAAGUUAAUACCUUUACUCAUUGACGUUACCCGCAGAAGAAGUACCGGCUAACUCCGUG
rnacentral:rRNA from 1 species